rnacentral:rRNA from 1 species
CAGCCGCCACGGGAAUACGUAGGGUCCGAGCGUUGUCCGGAAUUAUUGGGCGUAAAGGGCUCGUAGGCGGUUUGUUGCGUCGGGAGUGAAAUCCUACAGCUUAACUGUGGGCUUGCUUUCGAUACGGGCAGACUGGAGGCAUUCAGGGGAGAACGGAAUUCCUGGUGUAGCGGUGAAAUGCGCAGAUAUCAGGAGGAACACCGGUGGCGAAGGCGGUUCUCUGGGAAUGUCCUGACGCUGAGGAGCGAAAGUGUGGGGAGCGAACAGGAUUAGAUACCCCUGUAGUCCCUGUCUCUUAUAC